UGGGGAAUUUUGGACAAUGGGGGAAACCCUGAUCCAGCCAUCCCGCGUGUGCGAUGAAGGCCUUCGGGUUGUAAAGCACUUUUGGCAGGAAAGAAACGUCAUGGGUUAAUACCCCGUGAAACUGACGGUACCUGCAGAAUAAGCACCGGCUAACUACGUGCCAGCAGCCGCGGUAAUACGUAGGGUGCAAGCGUUAAUCGGAAUUACUGGGCGUAAAGCGUGCGCAGGCGGUUCGGAAAGAAAGAUGUGAAAUCCCAGAGCUCAACUUUGGAACUGCAUUUUUAGCAACCGGGCUAGAGUGUGUCAGAGGGAGGUGGAAUUCCGCGUGUAGCAGUGAAAUGCGUAGAUAUGCGGAGGAACACCGAUGGCGAAGGCAGCCUCCUGGACUAACACUGACGCUCAUGCACGAAAGCGUGGGGAGCAAACAGG
rnacentral:rRNA from 1 species